UGGGGAAUAUUGGACAAUGGGGGAAACCCUGAUCCAGCAAUGCCGCGUGAGUGAAGAAGGCCUUAGGGUUGUAAAGCUCUUUCGCCCGCGAAGAUAAUGACGGUAGCGGGAGAAGAAGCCCCGGCUAACUCCGUGCCAGCAGCCGCGGUAAUACGGAGGGGGCUAGCGUUGUUCGGAAUUACUGGGCGUAAAGCGUACGUAGGCGGAUGCGCAAGUUGGGGGUGAAAUCCCGGGGCUUAACCUCGGAAUUGCCCUCAAAACUGCACGUCUUGAGACCGAGAGAGNUAAGGGGAAUUCCUAGUGUAGAGGUGAAAUUCGUAGAUAUUAGGAAGAACACCAGUGGCGAAGGCGCCUUACUGGCUCGGUACUGACGCUGAGGUACGAAAGCGUGGGGAGCAAACA
rnacentral:rRNA from 1 species